AAAAGCUCAGCUCUAACCUGCCCUUGACUCACCAGGACUCCUCAGCUCAGCUUCUCAAAAUGAGGCUCCCUGCUCAGCUCCUGGGGCUGCUGCUGCUCUGGAUCCCUGGAUUCAGUUGGGAUGUUGUUCUGACCCAGACUCCUCUCUCUGAGCCCAUUGCCCCUGGACAGCCAGCCUCCAUCUCCUGCAGGUCCAGUCAGAGAACCUACACAGAAGCAUCUGGGAUAUAGUGAGGAUGCAGUUUCCACUCUCCCUGCCUGAUACCCUUGACUCCCUGCCUUCAUCUUGGGAAGGAUCAGAGUUGGAAAAGUCACUCAUAUGUCACCAAGAGGGUGAAAGGUUGUGCCGUGGUGUUGAAGGUGAUUCCUACAUAAUAGAGCUCCUGGUGAAUGUAACUGAAAUCUCAAGGUCCUAUUUGUGAUGAGUAUUAAAUUUAUAUGUGAAUAUUUAUUUAUGUAGAAGAAAAAUUUUGUAAAUUUUAAAAGAAUGCUGUGAAUAGGUAAUUUUUAAAUAUUUGGAAUCCAAUAAAGGUGAAAGAAGCAAUUUUGGUGAAGGGAAACUGAUUAAAACCAGACAGUUAGUUGUCCUUGUUUGGAGAAACCACUGAAGACGCUGCUCACAAAGAGCAAUCACUCAGAGAGACAUGGAGGGUGUAAAAGGCAGACACAAGGAGGCAUGAAUUAGUGGGUGAAUGUGCACUAAUACUGGCUGCACAAAUGACCUUGUACAGAUGGAGCUGUACAUAAACCUGGAGAGCUUGAAAAGCAGUGUGUUAGCAGAAAAAAGGGAAAUAAAUGUAAUUAAAAAUUAUACUGUUUAAGAGUGGAAAAAGUCAUUCCUCUGGCUGUGGGAAUGGAAACCAGAGCUUCUGCCCAAGAGGCACCUGCUCCACCAAUGACCAACAUCCCCCAACAUACUCAAGACCAACCCUGAGCCAGAGCCACACAGGAAGCCCCGGCCAGAUUCCUUACACACAGAAAGGCAGGGUGGUGGGGAGGAUAAAAUGCUAAUGGCUUAGCUGCUGGGGUGGGGCAAUAUUUUACACAAAAUUAUACAAUACAUGCAGAGAAACAGUAAGAAGUUUAAAAAAAAAAACUGAUGGCAAAGCUGUAUUGUCUAUUCGCCACACAAAGUAAUGUUGUUUCCCUGGGUAACGUAAACAUGCAUGUACCUGACAUAAUGUUAGCAUCACAGAAAGAAGGUCUAUGCCUGGAAGUGUUGAGUAAUUCCUGAAUUGUCCAUGAAGUGUAAGAGUGAUAAUGAGCUGACAUAUCUCUAAAAAUAAAGAGUAUCUUUUGUUUUCUCUUUCAUGGUUUGCCUUGUUAAAGAGUGAUGGUGGGGGGACAGUUUUCUUUAACAGAUAAAAAUAAUGUUCAAUAAGUCACUCACAUUCCAGGCCUUCUCUCCCACAGUAGCAGAGGAAGGAGGCCAUGGGCUCCACAUGGUGCACACAUGAGGAUGGAGCCUCCCUAGCCUGGUUCCCCACAGGAUUGUGUGAAGCACCCCUGCCUGGCCCAGGAGCACACAGCCUUAACAAUAUGCUAUGCUGCCUGCUGUGACAAGUACAGUGGUGACCUCCAUCCUGAAUGCUGUGAAUGCACAAAAGACAACUAAGUGACAGCAACAAGAGACCAUGAUGUCUCAUUCAGUUCCUAUAAUGAUGCUGUCUUAACAGAUAAAAAUGUAAAAUACAAUUUAUUCUUGAAAUAUAGAUCUGCUUCUCCAGGGCUGAGGCUAUGGUGAGUGUAUUUCCAGGUUCACAUCGUCCUCUGGUGGGCAAGAAGUGGAACAUCCUAAUACAGAUUUCAGUGAGAGGAACCUACCUGAAGGUGAGCCACCUCUGUGUCCACAGGGUCCUGUGCCCUCUGCUCUCCACAAUAAUGCUCUAAAUCUCCAGGAAACCAGCUCGCCCACCUGUCUAUCAAAAGGGCAUACACUCACACCCAGAGAGAAGUUCAGAACUCACUGUUAUGCCUGGGAACAAGGGAAGAGGGCAGAGCAGAUGUGUCUAACCAGGUCCCUCACUGAGUUCAGAACAAGCUUAGGCUAAAACCAGGUGUCAAGUAAAACCAGGUGUCCUGUCCUCUUUCUCCUGUACAGAGUCCAGAUCCAAGAAACAGCUGGAUCAAAAACAUCCAACAUACACCUUUCCAAAUACACUGAACUUAUUUCAUGAUCUCCUACAAGAUGGACUUCUUUUGGCAUCUAGGACCAGUGUAAAGUGAACAAAUACCUUCCUGUUCCCAUUCUUGUCUCUUGGAACAGUUUGAACCUCAGCUUGGAAACUUUAUCUUUUUCUCAUCACAAGUAAUAAAAUUUGUGC